AUUGAACGCUGGCGGAAUGCUUUACACAUGCAAGUCGAGCGGCAGCGCGGGGGCAACCCUGGCGGCGAGCGGCGAACGGGUGAGUAACACAUCGGAACGUACCCAGUUGUGGGGGAUAGCCCGGCGAAAGCCGGAUUAAUACCGCAUACGACCUGAGGGUGACAGGGGGGGAUCGCAAGACCUCUCGCAGUUGGAGCGGCCGAUGGCGGAUUAGCUAGUUGGUGAGGUAAAGGCUCACCAAGGCGACGAUCCGUAGCUGGUCUGAGAGGACGACCAGCCACACUGGAACUGGGACACGGUCCAGACUCCUACGGGAGGCAGCAGUGGGGAAUUUUGGACAAUGGGGGCAACCCUGAUCCAGCCAUUCCGCGUGAGUGAAGAAGGCCUUCGGGUUGUAAAGCUCUUUCGGCAGGAACGAAACGGUGGAGGCUAAUACCUUUCAUCAAUGACGGUACCUGAAGAAGAAGCACCGGCUAACUACGUGCCAGCCGCCGCGGUAA
rnacentral:rRNA from 1 species